rnacentral:rRNA from 1 species
AUUGAACGCUGGCGGCAGGCCUAACACAUGCAAGUCGAGCGGAGCGGCGGACGGGUGAGUAAUGCCUAGGAAUCUGCCUGGUAGUGGGGGUUAACGUCCGGAACCGGGCGCUAAUACCCCAUAUUUUCGAAUGACCCUGGGUCGAAUUAGCUGGUUGGUGGGGGAAAGGCCUACCAAGGCGACGAUCCGUAACUGGUCUGAGAGGAUGAUCAGUCACACUGGAACUGAGACACGGUCCAGACUCCUACGGGAGGCAGCAGUGGGGAAUAUUGGACAAUGGGCGAAAGCCUGAUCCAGCCAUGCCGCGUGUGUGAAGAAGGUCUUCGGAUUGUAAAGCACUUUAAGUUGGGAGGCGUUACCAACAGAAUAAGCACCGGCUAACUUCGUGCCAGCAGCCGCGGUAAUAC